rnacentral:rRNA from 1 species
GAUGAAUGCUGGCGGCGUGCCUAACACAUGCAAGUCGAGCGGCAGCGCGAGUAGUUUACUACUUGGCGGCGAGCGGCGGACGGCUGAGUAACGCGUGGGAACGUGCCCCAAAGUGAGGAAUAACUGCCCGAAAGGGUGGCUAAUGCCGCAUAUGAUCUUCGGAUUAAAGGAUUUAUCCGCUUUGGGAGCGGCCUGCGUACGAUUAGAUAGUUGGUGAGGUAAUGGCUCACCAAGUCGACGAUCGUUAGCUGGUCUGAGAGGAUGAUCAGCCAGACUGGAACUGAGACACGGUCCAGACUCCUACGGGAGGCAGCAGUGAGGAAUCUUCCACAAUGGGCGAAAGCCUGAUGGAGCAACGCCGCGUGCAGGAUGAAGGCCUUCGGGUUGUAAACUGCUUUUAUAAGUGAAGAAUAUGACGGUAACUUAUGAAUAAGCACCGGCUAACUACGUGCCAGCAGCCGCCGUAACAC